rnacentral:rRNA from 1 species
UAACACAGAGAGCUUGCUCUCGGGUGACGAGCGGCGGACGGGUGAGUAAUGUCUGGGAAACUGCCUGAUGGAGGGGGAUAACUACUGGAAACGGUAGCUAAUACCGCAUAACGUCGCAAGACCAAAGUGGGGGACCUUCGGGCCUCAUGCCAUCAGAUGUGCCCAGAUGGGAUUAGCUAGUAGGUGGGGUAAUGGCUCACCUAGGCGACGAUCCCUAGCUGGUCUGAGAGGAUGACCAGCCACACUGGAACUGAGACACGGUCCAGACUCCGGUACGGGAGGCAGCAGUGGGGAAUAUUGCACAAUGGGCGCAAGCCUGAUGCAGCCAUGCCGCGUGUAUGAAGAAGGCCUUCGGGUUGUAAAGUACUUUCAGCGAGGAGGAAGGCGUUAAGGUUAAUAACCUUAGCGAUUUUAUCCUUUGUUGCCAGCGGUUCGGCCGGGACGUUACUCGCAGAAGAAGCACCGGCUAACUCCGUGCCAGCAGCCGCGGUAAUACGGAGGGUGCAAGCGUUAAUCGGAAUUACUGGGCGUAAAGCGCCGCAGGCNNNCUGUCAAGUCGGAUGUGAAAUCC